rnacentral:rRNA from 1 species
GACGAACGCUGGCGGCGUGCUUAACACAUGCAAGUCGAACGGAAAGGCCCAGCUUGCUGGGUCCUCGAGUGGCGAACGGGUGAGUAACACGUGUGUUUUCUGCCCCCCACUUUGGGAUAAGUCUUGGAAACUGGGCCUAUUACCGGACAUGAUCAACCGCCGCCUUGUGGUUGGCGGAAAGCUUUUGCGUUUGUGGAUGGGCCCGCGGCCUAUCAGCUUGUUGGUGGGGUAAGGGCCUACCAAGGCGACGGCGGGUAGCCGACCUGAGAGGGUGAUCGGCCACACUAGGACGGGGACGAGGCCCAGACUACUACGGGAGGCAACAGUGGAGAAUAUUACACAGUGCGCGCGAGCCUGGUACAGCGACGCCGCGUGAGGGAUGACGGCCAUCGGGUUGUGAACCACUUUCUCCAGGAACGAAACGUGAGUGACGGUACCUGGAGAAGAAGCUCCGGCCAACUACGUG